rnacentral:misc_RNA from 1 species
AUUGUAACUUUUGGUUAUCUCACUCUCUCUCUGUUUUUAAAGGUUGCAUUUGGAUGAGAAAUUUUAAAUACAUUUAUUUUUAUUAAAAUUUUAGUUUUAAAUAUUGACUUACAAUAAGGGAAAUACACAGGGGGGAAAUGUUUCAAUAAAAAUUACAUUUUUUGAAUAGGUAAUUCAAAUGCAUUACCAAACCAAUCUUCAUGCACAGUUGUGAAUUUAAUCUCCAUUCAUAAUUAUAGACAACUGAAGAAAAUCCACG